ensembl:lncRNA
GAAAUAGUUACUUGUGAAGGGACAUUUCAGGUGUUUCUUAAACAUUCUUGCAUUACAGCUGUAGCAUCAAGAGGUUAAAAUACCUAGAACAUUUCUCCUUACCCUGUCUCUCACACACCACGUUUAAAAUUAGAACAUCAUAAGGAAAAUCGUAGGUGGCUCUGGGGAAGAAGGGGAUAUUUUACGGCUGAAAGUCACAAAGCCAUCAAAUAACAUCUUCACAAAUACCUGGGUCUUGCAGGUCUUCAACAUGGCUGGCACUGACACAGCUGCCUUCCUGCAUGCGGCUCCGUGCAAUGUCACUCAAUGGCGUAGAAGAUGGACUGCAGAAGAGAAGGACAGAGCACAGAGGAGCCCAGGAGCAGGGAGCCUGGCCAGGGGCCCCCUCAGGUGCUGUGCAGCAGCUGGUGUUGUGAAUCAGGCCGUCACCAGUCGGAGAACGGCUACUUCACAACACCAGGGUCGCACCGCACCACGCUUCCACGGCCGGCUGGAGAAGAGCAGUGUUUCCUGUGGGCAGGCAAGGGACGUGGAGCACCUCCUGGCUGCUUCCACACAAGCCCAGACCUGCAAAGGUAAUCAGGUGCUCAACUCCUAUUUAGGCACCAGCCUCCCACUGAAGUCUGAAAUAGAAGUUAGGCCCCUAAAUAUCUCUGUGGGUCUGGCCCCGAAACCCUGCGUCGCUGUGCAGUGCAGAGCUUCAGCAGGCACAGGGCAGCACUGUCAGCAGCAUGGUCACUGCCUGUUCUUGUGCCACAUGAAGGUUAAGGAACAGGAAGCUUUCAUUAAGCUGUGGAAAACAGUAAAAAAACCCAUUCUGCAUGAUGCAUGUGUGGUUCUGCCUGACAGUCACAUCUGUGGUCCUUGCCUGUGAUUUGUUCUGAACCCUUCCCUACCUCGACACCCAAGCACGUACUCUCUGUAAAAGGUUGUGUACAUACCAGGAAAAGGUUGGGCUUCUUGCUAUUGAUACUACACCUGGUCAGCCUCUGCCAACGUGCCUCUAUCCAAACCAGCCCUAGGUAUGUUGUGAUGAAUGAAAAAAUUAAUGGUGGCAUCAUCCAGAAGUGGUACCAACAACUGCAGUCCUUAAAAUAGAGAAAACAUUGCUAAAGCAGUGCCUCAUAAAUUCCUAGGUGUAGAGGCAUAGUGAGGCAUAUCAAACCAAGUGACCCUGUAACAUGUGCUGUGCACUUCAGAUUUUAAAAACAGGCUCUUCUCUGCCUGCACCUUUGUACCACACCACCAGUGUGAUGUUAGUUUGAGAGGAGUGGGUUACAGAAGAGCGCUUUCCAUCCAAAUCUGGGUUACGUACAGGGAGGUUGGCACACACCUGAUGGCCAGUGUAUACAAUCCCUUGAAUCAAACUGAAAUGCUGUUCAGUUUUGAUCUCAGAAAGCAGGCAUGUGGUCUUGGUCUCAGGAUGGGGUGUUCUUUGGUGGGUUUUCCCUUCCUCCCACCCCUCAGGAUGGCUCUGUGCUCUCAGGUGUGUCUGGCUGUCCCCUUGUAUGAUAUAAACCACUAGAUAUGUCUAAAGCAAAGAGUGGAGAAGUGCAAAGAGAAAUUAUUCAGGUAACAUAGAACCAGUGAUGGUUUUUGUGAAAGUUUUCUUCAUUAUCCUAACUCAUCUGACUGAAGAUGGCAGUAAAAAUUAUUUUACAUUCCAUUCUGGAUGCAUUAUUGCUGGCAGGGAGAUAGAUGUAGGGGAGAGUCAGGAUAUGCACAAUAUCUAAAAUAGUAUGGGACAGCCUGGAAAUGCAAAUGAAAGGUGACAAUGGUUGUUUCAUUGGACCCAUCUAAUCUUUCUGUUCAGAUGGACUCCCUGCACAAGGAGCCCUGAAUUCCUUUUAUAGCAAAAAGUCAAAUACCUUGAACAAUGUAAGAGGUGUAUGGGAGGCUCAUUCGUGCAUUAGGGGGUUUUGUCAUUGAUGAGAGGAAAACUAGAUCAUGUUUCUCAUUUGUGCACUAUGAAUUUGUGAAUUCAACAUGCAAGAACACUGUUUAAUAAACUUGUUCUCUGCUAACA